GAUGAACGCUGGCGGCGUGCCUAAUACAUGCAAGUCGAGCGAACGGACGAGAAGCUUGCUUUUCUGAUGUUAGCGGCGGACGGGUGAGUAACACGUGGAUAACCUACCUAUAAGACUGGGAUAACUUCGGGAAACCGGAGCUAAUACCGGAUAAUAUGUUGAACCGCAUGGUUCAAAAGUGAAAGACGGUCUUGCUGUCACUUAUAGAUGGAUCCGCGCUGCAUUAGCUAGUUGGUAAGGUAACGGCUUACCAAGGCAACGAUGCAUAGCCGACCUGAGAGGGUGAUCGGCCACACUGGAACUGAGAAACGGUCCAGACUCCUACGGGAGGCAGCAGUAGGGAAUCUUCCGCAAUGGGCGAAAGCCUGACGGAGCAACGCCGCGUGAGUGAUGAAGGUCUUCGGAUCGUAAAACUCUGUUAUUAGGGAAGAACAUAUGUGUAAGUAACUGUGCACAUCUUGACGGUACCUAAUCAGAAAGCCACGGCUAACUACGUG
rnacentral:rRNA from 1 species